rnacentral:tRNA from 2 species
UGCGGGGUCGUCUAACGGUAGGACACAUCCCUUUGAAGGAUGUCAUUCUGGUUCGAGUCCAGGCCCCGCAGCCA